AGAGAAAAUUGUGGAGUUACUGCUAAUAAUUUUGUGUCAUUUAGGUUUGACUUUCUCUU
rnacentral:tRNA from 5 species